rnacentral:rRNA from 1 species
UGGGAGCAAACAGGAUUAGAUACCNUGGUAGUNCACGCUGUAAACGAUGAAUGUUAAAUAUGGGAAGUUUUACUUUCUGUAUUACAGCUAACGCGUUAAACAUUCCGCCUGGGGACUACGGUCGCAAGAUUAAAACUCAAAGGAACUGACGGGGACCCGCACAAGCGGUGGAGCAUGUGGUUUAAUUCGAUGCAACGCGAAAANCCUUANCCCNNNNNNNNNCNNNCGAUUAUACCUAUUCGAAGGGAUAGGGUCGGUUCGGCCGGGUUUCACACAGGUGUUGCAUGGCUGUCGUCAGCUCGUGUCGUGAGAUGUUGGGUUAAGUCCCGCAACGAGCGCAACCCUCAUCCUUAGUUACCAUCAGGUAAUGCUGGGGACUUUAAGGAGACUGCCAGUGAUAAACUGGAGGAAGGUGGGGAUGAUGUCAAGUCAUCAUGGCCCUUAUGGAGUGGGCUACACACGUGCUACAAUGGUGGCUACAAUGGGCUGCAAAGUCGCGAGGCUAAGCCAAUCCCUUAAAAGCCAUCUCAGUUCGGAUUGUACUCUGCAACUCGAGUGCAUGAAGUUGGAAUCGCUAGUAAUCGUGGAUCAGCACGCCACGGUGAAUACGUUCUCGGGUCUUGUACACACUGCCCGUCACGCCAUGGGAAUUGGUUUCACUCGAAGCUAACGACCUAACCGCAAGGAGGGAGUUAUUUAAAGUGGGAUCGGUGACUGGGGUG